rnacentral:tRNA from 1 species
GCAUCGGUGGUUCAGUGGUAGAAUGCUCGCCUGCCACGCGGGCGGCCCGUUUGAUUCCGCUGAUACA